CAUGCAGUCGUACAAAGUUUUUAAUCAGUGGCGGACGGGUGAUACCCUGAAAUUUGCCUUUAGGAAGGAUACAUUGCCAUUUAUGGCUCAUACCUCGUAUGCUUGAGAGUGAAAUAGAUUUAUCUGCCAAAAGAAAAGCUCGCGGCUUCUCCCAAAAAGAUGGAAAGGUAUGGGUUUACCAGGGGGAGGAGGGGGGGGCUGGUUUGAGAGGGACGAUCAGACCCACUGGAACUGAAACACGGGUCCAGACUCCUGCGGGAGGCACAGUGGGGAAUUUUUCCGCAGGGGGCGAAAGCCUGACGGGACAAUUCCCGCGUGGAGGGAAAACGGCCUAUGGGGUUGUAAACCUCUUUUUUCAGGGAGGAUUUUUUUUUUUUUGUACCCUAAAAAUAACAUCGGGGGGGCGCCCGACAGAGCAAAAAAGGUAAAGAGGGAGGA
rnacentral:rRNA from 1 species